rnacentral:rRNA from 1 species
AGAGUUUGAUCCUGGCUCAGGAUGAACGCUGGCGGCGUGCCUAACACAUGCAAGUCGAACGAAGCACUUUACUUGAUCCCUCGGGUGAUUGUAUUGUGACUGAGUGGCGGACGGGUGAGUAACGCGUGGGUAACCUGCCUUAUACAGGGGGAUAACAGUUAGAAAUGACUGCUAAUACCGCAUAAGCGCACGAGUUCACAUGAACUUGUGUGAAAAACUCCGGUGGUAUAAGAUGGACCCGCGUCUGAUUAACUGGUUGGUGAGGUAACGGCCCACCAAGGCGACGAUCAGUAGCCGACCUGAGAGGGUGAUCGGCCACAUUGGGACUGAGACACGGCCCAAACUCCUACGGGAGGCAGCAGUGGGGAAUAUUGCACAAUGGGGGAAACCCUGAUGCAGCAACGCCGCGUGAUUGAAGAAGUAUUUCGGUAUGUAAAGAUCUAUCAGCAAGGAAGAAAAUGACGGUACUUGACUAAGAAGCCCCGGCUAACUACGUGCCAGCAGCCGCGGUAAUACGUAGGGGGCAAGCGUUAUCCGGAUUUACUGGGUGUAAAGGGAGCGUAGGCGGUCAUGCAAGCCAGAAGUGAAAUACAUGGGCUCAACCCAUGGGCUGCAUUUGAAACUGUAGUUCUUGAGUGAAGUAGAGGUAAGCGGAAUUCCUGGUGUAGCGGUGAAAUGCGUAGAUAUCAGGAGGAACACCGGUGGCGAAGGCGGCUUACUGGGCUUUUACUGACGCUGAGGCUCGAAAGCGUGGGGAGCAAACAGGAUUAGAUACCCUGGUAGUCCACGCUGUAAACGAUGAUUAC